rnacentral:rRNA from 1 species
GACGAACCGUGCGAACGUUGUUCGGAAUCACUGGGCUUAAAGGGCGCGUAGGCGGGCUGUCAAGUCUGGGGUGAAAUGCUGCGGCUCAACCGUAGAACUGCCUUAGAUACUGACGGCCUCGAGGAAGGUAGGGGCAUGCGGAACUGUAGGUGGAGCGGUGAAAUGCGUUGAUAUCAGAAGGAACGCCGGUGGCGAAAGCGCUCGACUGGACCUUUUCUGACGCUGAGGCGCGAAAGCUAGGGGAGCAAACGGG